rnacentral:rRNA from 1 species
AGGUGCUAAUACCCGGAUAAGAAAGCAGAUCGCAUGAUCAGCUUUUAAAGGCGGGCGUAAAGCUGUCGCUAUGGGGAUGGGCCCCCGCGGUGCAUUAGCUAGUUGUAAGUAAGGCUUACAGGGCGAUGAUGCAUAGCCGAGUUGAGAGACUGAUCGGCCACAUUGGGACUGAGACACGGCCAAAACUCUACGGGGAGGCAGCAGUAGGAAUCUUCCACAAUGGACGCAAGUCUGAUGGAGCAACGCCGCGUGAGUGAAGAAGGUUUUCGGAUCGUAAAAGCUCUGUUGUUGGUGAAGAAGGAUAGAGGUAGUAACUGGCCUUUAUUUGACGGUAAUCAACCAGGGAAGUCACGGCUAACUACGUGCCAGCAGCCGCGGUAAU